rnacentral:rRNA from 1 species
ACCUGCCUAUAAGACUGGGAUAACUUCGGGAAACCGGAGCUAAUACCGGAUACGUUCUUUUCUCGCAUGAGAGAAGAUGGAAAGACGGUUUCGGCUGUCACUUAUAGAUGGGCCCGCGGCGCAUUAGCUAGUUGGUGAGGUAAUGGCUCACCAAGGCGACGAUGCGUAGCCGACCUGAGAGGGUGAUCGGCCACACUGGGACUGAGACACGGCCCAGACUCCUACGGGAGGCAGCAGUAGGGAAUCUUCCGCAAUGGACGAAAGUCUGACGGAGCAACGCCGCGUGAACGAAGAAGGCCUUCGGGUCGUAAAGUUCUGUUGUUAGGGAAGAACAAGUACCAGAGUAACUGCUGGUACCUUGACGGUACCUAACCAGAAAGCCACGGCUAACUACGUGCCAGCAGCCGCGGUAAUACGUAGGUGGCAAGCGUUGUCCGGAAUUAUUGGGCGUAAAGCGCGCGCAGGUGGUUCUUUAAGUCUGAUGUGAAAGCCCACGGCUCAA